GACGAACGCUGGCGGCGUGCUUAACACAUGCAAGUCGAACGAUGAAGCCGGAGCUUGCUCCGGUGGAUUAGUGGCGAACGGGUGCGUAACACGUGAGCAAUCUGCCCUUGACUCUGGGAUAACUGCGGGAAACUGUAGCUAAUACCGGAUACGACACCUUGGGGCAUCCCAGGGUGUGGAAAGAAUUUCGGUCAAGGAUGAGCUCGCGGCCUAUCAGCUAGUUGGUGAGGUAAUGGCUCACCAAGGCGACGACGGGUAGCCGGCCUGAGAGGGUGACCGGCAACACUGGAACUGAGACACGGUCCAGACUCCUACGGGAGGCAGCAGUGGGGAAUAUUGCACAAUGGGCGAAAGCCUGAUGCAGCAACGCCGCGUGAGGGAUGAAGGCCUUCGGGUUGUAAACCUCUUUUAGCAGGGAAGAAGCGAAAGUGACGGUACCUGCAGAAAAAGCACCGGCUAACUACGUGCCAGCAGCCGCGGUAA
rnacentral:rRNA from 1 species